GACGAACGCUGGCGGCGUGCUUAACACAUGCAAGUCGAACGAUGAAGCCCAGCUUGCUGGGUGGAUUAGUGGCGAACGGGUGAGUAACACGUGGGCAACCUGCCCCAAACUCUGGGAUAACUCCUCGAAAGAGGUGCUAAUACCGGAUACGAACUAGACAGACAUCUGUACUAGUUGGAAAGUUUUUCGGUUUGGAUGGGCCCGCGGCCUAUCAGCUUGUUGGUGAGGUAACGGCUCACCAAGGCUACGACGGGUAACCGGCCUGAGAGGGCGACCGGUCACACUGGGACUGAGACACGGCCCAGACUCCUACGGGAGGCAGCUGUGGGGAAUAUUGCGCAAUGGGCGAAAGCCUGACGCAGCGACGCCGCGUGAGGGAUGAAGGUCUUCGGAUCGUAAACCUCUUUCAGUAGGGACGAAGCGAAAGUGACGGUACCUAAAGAAGAAGCACCGGCUAACUACGUGCCAGCCGCCGCGGUAA
rnacentral:rRNA from 1 species